rnacentral:lncRNA from 1 species
GAGACAGUUUGGAGAGAGACACUUUGGAGGUAAACAGACUCUCGUGGGUUCAGUGGCCAGCCUGGGAUGUCUAACGACUGACUGUUAGAAAACAAAGCAAAAUCAAACCAAACUCUGAGAACCCAGAACCUCAGCUUUUGCUAAGGUGACCCGUGUAUAAGUGCGCGCGCUGAGGUUUCGGGGUGGGGUGGGGGGUGACUGUUGUGGAAACCUGGAUCCAGCAGUGUUGAGCAGCCUUGCAGUGACUGCAACCCUGCUUUAGGGGCGCCUCCCUGGGGCAGCACAGAAGUAGAGGACGAUGCCCUGAUCAAGAGAGAAAAUGCAGUCUGUAAUCCGCCACGGUCUUGCCCCACCCCACCCCCACCCCCACUUCCUUCUUUUCCAGGAGUGAGGGUCUGUGCCAGCCCUGGCACCCGCAGAACCGGCUCUAGGCUGCAGGGCCCAGAUAAAUAUCCUCAAGGCGGAUCUCAUCCUCAUCGCAAGGAGGCCGCAGGAAUCGAACUGUGGCCUGGCAGGGAGUGGGGGUGGGGCGUGGAGCUGAGGCCGAGGACCUCAUGCGCAGGUACUCCUGAAACACCGACUCCACUCCUCUGUCCUAGCAUCCCAGCUACCCUCCUCCCUCCCUAAAUCCCUACU